rnacentral:snRNA from 1 species
GGCUGUGUGGGUAAUCUGGUUGUGACAUCUGUCACCCUGCUGAGUACCAGAGUUGAUUCAGCUGAUCUGGGUGGCCAAGUGGGUGACCCUUUCCUGCCUCACGGCUCCGUAUGUGUCCCUCCCAAGGCUGUGUGACCUUCCCUGGAGGAGGAGAACCAUUCUUCAGGCAAGAGUACACCAGGAACUGUGUUCCCCUGCUAGAACCUCCAAACAAGUGUUCAGGGUCACAAGUUGUAUGAUUGCACUGAUAGGAAAUCUGCAGGGAAGAUCAGUCUGCACAGGCAGCAGAGUGGCAGUUUU